rnacentral:tRNA from 1 species
GCGCGAGUGGCGUAAUCAGGCAGCCGCGCCAGGUUUAGGUCCUGGUGUCCUUACGGACGUGGGGGUUCGAGUCCCCCCUCGCGCACCA